rnacentral:rRNA from 1 species
AAUCGAACUCGGAGAUAGCUGGUUCUCCCCGAAAUAGCUUUAGGGCUAGCGUUAGUUUAGAUUACCGGAGGUAAAGCACUGAAUGGUUUAGGGGCUGAUAAAGUUACCGACGCCUAUCAAACUCUGAAUGCCGGAUAAUUGAUGACUAGCAGUCAGACAGUGUGAGAUAAGUUUCAUUGUCAAAAGGGAAACAGCCCAGACCUACAGCUAAGGUCCCAAAUGUAUGCUAAGUGGAAAACGAUGUGGAAUUGCGAAAACAACCAGGAUGUUGGCUUAGAAGCAGCCACACAUUAAAAGAGUGCGUAAUAGCUCACUGGUCGAGUGACUCUGCGCGGAAAAUGUAACGGGGCUAAGCAUGCAACCGAAGCUUAGGAUUGUCUAAAGACAGUGGUAGGGGAGCGUUCUGUAUGGGGUGAAGUCGCAGCGAGAGCAGCGGUGGACUGUACAGAAGUGAGAAUGCCGGAAUGAGUAGCGAGAAUUAUGUGGGAAUCAUAAUGGCCGAAAAUCUAAGGUUUCUUGGGGAAGGUUCGUCCGCCCAAGGUAAGUCGGGAGCUAAGCUCAGGCCGCGAGGCGUAGGCGAUGCACAUACGGUAGAAAUUCCGUAACCACCGAACUUUAAGCAUGAGGGACACUUUGAGAUAGCGGAACCCGGGCGUUGGUUGACCCGGGCGAAAGGGACCGAAAUAUAGUAGGGAAGUCCGCGAUGCUCGGAGGCGAGAAAAGCUCAUGUGUAUACUAAGGUGCCCGUACCGCAAACCGACACAGGUAGAUGAGGAGAGAAUCCUAAGGCCAACGGGAGAAGGGUUGUUAAGGAACUCGGCAAGAUGACCCCGUAACUUCGGAAGAAGGGGAGCCUCGAAAGAGGCCGCAGUGAAUAGGCCCAAGCAACUGUUUACCAAAAACACAGGUUUAUGCUAAAUCGAAAGAUGACGUAUAUGAGCUGACGCCUGCCCGGUGCCGGAAGGUUAAGAGGAGAUGUCAACCGCGAGGUGAAGCAUUGAAUUGAAGCCCCGGUAAACGGCGGCCGUAACUAUAACGGUCCUAAGGUAGCGAAAUUCCUUGUCAGGUAAGUUCUGACCCGCACGAAAGGCGUAACGAUUUGGGCGCUGUCUCAGCUGUAGACUCGGUGAAGUCUUAGUACCUGUGAAGAUGCAGGUUACCCGCGACUAGACGGAAAGACCCCAUGGAGCUUCACUGCAGGUUGAUAUUGGGAUUUGAUGCAGCAUGUACAGGAUAGGUAGGAGGCAAAGAGAUGGAUACGCCAGUAUUCAAGGAGCCGCUGUUGGGAUACUACCCCUGUUGUAUUGGAUUUCUAACCGGACGACGUAGAGCCGUUGACGGGACAGUGUCAGUCGGGCAGUUUGACUGGGGCGGUCGCCUCCCAAAGAGUAACGGAGGCGCCCAAAGAUACCCUCAGCUUGGAUGGAAACCAAGCGCAGAGUGCAAAGGCAAAAGGGUGUUUGACUGCGAGACCCACAAGUCGAGCAGGGACGAAAGUCGGGCUUAGUGAUCCGGCGGUGCUGAAUGGAAAGGCCGUCGCUCAACGGAUAAAAGCUACCCUGGGGAUAACAGGCUGAUCUCCCCCAAGAGUCCACAUCGACGGGGAGGUUUGGCACCUCGAUGUCGGCUCAUCGCAUCCUGGGGCUGUAUUCGGUCCCAAGGGUUUGGCUGUUCGCCAAUUAAAGCGGUACGCGAGCUGGGUUCAGAACGUCGUGAGACAGUUCGGUCCCUAUCUGUCGUGGGCGUAGGAUAUUUGAGGAGCGCUGUUCCUAGUACGAGAGGACCGGAAUGGACGCACCGCUGGUGUAUCGGUUGUCAUGCCAAUGGCACGGCCGAGCAGCUAUGUGCGGAUCGGAUAAACGCUGAAAGCAUCUAAGCGUGAAGCCGUCUCCAAGAUAAGAUAUCCCACUGUUUACAGUUAAGACCCCUUGUAGACUACGAGGUUGAUAGGUUGGAUGUGUAAGUACAGCGAUGUAUUUAGCUAGCCAAUACUAAUAGGUCGAGGGCUUGACCU